rnacentral:rRNA from 1 species
GAUGAACGCUGGCGGCGUGCCUAAUACAUGCAAGUCGAGCGCAUCCUUCGGGGUGAGUGGCAGACGGGUGAGUAACGCGUGGGAACGUGCCCUUCAGUUCGGGAUAACCCAGGGAAACUUGGGCUAAUACCGGAUACGUGCGAGAGCAGAAAGAUUUAUCGCUGAAGGAUCGGCCCGCGUCUGAUUAGCUAGUUGGUGGGGUAAUGGCCCACCAAGGCGACGAUCAGUAGCUGGUCUGAGAGGAUGAUCAGCCACAUUGGGACUGAGACACGGCCCAAACUCCUACGGGAGGCAGCAGUGGGGAAUAUUGGACAAUGGGCGCAAGCCUGAUCCAGCCAUGCCGCGUGAGUGAUGAAGGCCUUAGGGUUGUAAAGCUCUUUCGUCCGGGACGAUAAUGACGGUACCGGAAGAAGAAGCCCCGGCUAACUUCGUGCCAGCCGCCGCAGUAA